rnacentral:snRNA from 3 species
AUCUUUGCGCUUGGGGCAAUGACGCAGCUAGUGAGGUUAUACCGAGGCGCGUCAAUUGCUGGUUGAAAACUAUUUCCAAACCCCCUCUUUGGCCUUCCGGGGCCACUGAGAAUUUCUGCAAGGGCUCCCUCUCCUCGGAGAGGGGAAAGCC